rnacentral:rRNA from 1 species
UACGUAGGGUGCGAGCGUUGCCCGGAUUUAUUGGGCGUAAAGGGCGCGUAGGCGGCCACGCACGUCCGUUGUGAAAUCGCCCGGCUCAACUGGGCGGGGUCAGCGGAUACGGUGUGGCUCGAGCAAGCUAGGGGGCAAUGGAAUUCCCGGUGUAGUGGCGGAAUGCGUAGAUAUCGGGAGGAACACCAGUGGCGAAGGCGGUUGCCUGGAGCUUUGCUGACGCUGAGGCGCGAAAGCGUGGGGAGCGAUCCGG